ACUCCUACGGGAGGCAGCAGCAAGGAAUUUUGUGCAAUGGGCGAAAGCCUGACACAGCGACGCCGCGUGAGGGAUGAAGGCCUUCGGGUUGUAAACCUCUUUUCUCAGGGAAGAAUAAUGACGGUACCUGAGGAAUAAGUCUCGGCUAACUACGUGCCAGCAGCCGCGGUAAUACGUAGGAGGCGAGCGUUAUCCGGAUUUACUGGGCGUAAAGCGGGCGUAGGCGGCUUUUCAAGUCGGGUGUGAAAUCUCCCUGCUUAAUAGGGAGGGGUCAUUCGAUACUGUUAAGCUAGAGGGCAGCAGGGGGAGGUGGAAUUCCCGGUGGAGUGGUGAAAUGCGUAGAUAUCGGGAGGAACACCAGUGGCGAAGGCGGCCUCCUGGGCUGUUUCUGACGCUGAGGUCCGAAAGCGUGGGGAGCGAACAGGAUUAGAUACCCUGGUAGUCCACGCUGUCAACGAUGGAUACUAGGUAUAGGGAGUAUCGACCCUCUCUGUGCCGAAGCUAACGCGUUAAGUAUCCCGCCUGGGGACUACGGCCGCAAGGCUAAAACUCAAAGGAAUUGACGGGGGCCCGCACAAGCAGCGGAGCGUGUGGUUUAAUUCGAUGCAACGCGAAGAACCUUACCAAGGCUUGACAUGACGGAAGUAGCAACCUGAAAGGGGAGUCACCUGUUGAGUCAGGAACCGUCACAGGUGCUGCAUGGUUGUCGUCAGCUCGUGCCGUGAGGUGUUGGGUUAAGUCCUGUAACGAGCGCAACCCCUGUUGUCAGUUGUUUUUUCUGGCGAGACUGCCCCGAGAAACGGGGAGGAAGGUGGGGAUGACGUCAAGUCAGCAUGGCCCUUAUGCCUUGGGCUACACACACGCUACAAUGGGUAGUACAAUGGGUAGCAAUAGAGCAAUCUGGAGCCAAUCCUAAAAACUAUCCUCAGUUCGGAUUGCNGGCUGAAACUCGCCUGCAUGAAGUUGG
rnacentral:rRNA from 1 species